UAAUAAAAGUGUAUGACAUCAAAGAAAAUAUCUGAAUUCUCAGAAUUACUGGGUUUUUGGAUUUUGUCCAUCGUCCGGUAAUCUAGAAAUUAAAAUCUACAUGUUACAAAUUUUCACGACUUUUAUGCUGCAAUCAUGAACAGUUAGGAAGUUUUCUUCUGGCGUGGGAGGCUGUUAACUGUAAUGUCGGUGAACAUUACCAAACCACACGGCAAUAUAUCCCCGAUCCGCGCAAUUUUUAAUAGUAAUGUAUAAUAUUUUAUUGUGAGAAACACGAAAACAGUAUAAACCGGUAUAAAAGUUCUUGUUUUGGAUGUAUAGUUUCUGAAAGUGUUCUGUCCGGAUGUGGAAAGCUACAUAAAGAUAUACUGGUGAAGCUUAUAUGUUCAAGGAUUGCAAAUUAAAAUGCCAUAGUAACCAAUAAAAUAUCUUGAGAAAAGUGAAUAAUGAAACUGGAGAUUUAUAACACUGUCAGUGAUUGAAAAUUUGGACUUGGUAAAUGGUGUGAAUGAGAAUUGAGAAGUGAGAUUACCCUAACCAAGAAAUAAACAAUUUGUGUUCAGUGCGGACAAACUUAAUACCGUUAAAAGGUUGGUUUCCCAUGACCCACAUGAUAGUUUGUCAUUUUAAGGUGGUAAAAUGAAAACACCAGGGCUAUUGCUAGCCGUGACUUGCAGGGGUGUUCGUUCCAUAGGGCGUGUCAAUUACAUGGCUAUGUUGAUAAAAUGGGAAGUAAAUUCAUGAGAUGGUUUAAGAAGCGUCUUCAGAAAACACUCAAUAGGAGAGGUUCCACAAACAUAUGGGAAACAAAUUGUGAGUUUUCCGUUGGUCCACAAGAAAAUGACUCUGUUACACACUUUCUAAAUAUGCAGCAAAAUGUAGAGAAUGAAGCAGUGGAAGAGCAAUCCAUAAAAGCAAAUAAGGGCGGUUUUGAUUUGGGUCAUUCAGAACAUACGUCUGCGUGCAAAGUUGUAUAUGCAGAUGAAUCUAGUAGAAAUGUGAACUAUAAUGAGACUACACAAGCAUUGGCUACAGAGUUGGAAAUACCCAGUAUCUCAAAUUCAUAUGCUUGUGCUAGUGUGAAUUAUGAUGUAUAUAGUGACACUUUAUCUUCUAAUCCAAAUACCUUACUAUGUACAGAUCCAGAUUUGGCAGUGGAACCCAGUGUGUACUCUGGAUUAACUGCAGAUGAAAUAGCCUUGAUAGAAAAUGAUGUUCAAAUACAUCUAAAUAAGUUUUGUCCAACUAUGUAUUAUGAUUUCUGCCUUAUAACUUGUGAUACAGAUUAUGAGGAAGCCACAAUUUUCAGGUCAGAAUUUUGCAGGAAAUACAACUUGACUGGUUGUAUGUUGUUUGAUGAUGACAUUGCAAAUCUUGGUGAAGAUAUCUUUGAACAGUAUGAAGCAAUGAUGAAACGGAGUACUAAGGUAUUUUUCUAUCACACUGAAAAUUACAAAAAGGACAGGGUUCUUCGCCGUGUACAAAAUGGUGCUGUCUACCAACAACUUUGGGAACAAAUGUGCAGAGACAAAGAUAAAUGUGUUCCUGUAUUUCCAAAUGGACAUCACAGAUUGGGGUUAGCUCUGUCAGGCAUAUCUGGAUUGGAUCCUACCCGUCCAGAGCAUAUGCACAGACGUGUACAAGCAACAUUUACUGACAGUAUACGUGAAGUUCGUGUGUUAAAAGAGGCAGAUGCUAAGAGGAGAAGAUGUGUCCUUUAUAAAGAACUGUGUGAAUACAUGGCUCAUUGUUUUAAAGAGAGAAAAUGCAAGGGUUUAAGUAUGAAACCUCAGUUAGCCUUAAAUAUUAAAGGUAUGAAGAAGGAAGAAGUUGAAAUGUCUACCUUUUCUGAUAUUGAAGCACCACAUUUAAAACAGAUGUUGACAUCUUUGUCUGUAGAGGAGGAAGCUAUGAAUAGAAUAAGUAUGCUUGUAUCUAAAAGUUAUGAAAACAGUCUUGCAUAUGAUGGUAUGCAUACCUUAACCAUUCAACCUGCUCAGAAUAAUAGUUCUAGUGGAAUCAGUAUAUCAGAAUCAUCAAAUAUUCAUGUAGGACCCCAUAUUGAAGUGAAUGUACAUGUUAGUAGGACUGGAGAAAGAGAUUCUCAUCUUAGCAUUGGUUCUGAUGACACUUGAGAAACAAAAUGAAUGUAAAUUCACAUAACAAUAUUUAAUGUAACAUAAUAACAUGGAAACUGCUUUCAGGUACUGGUUACAUUAUUUACCAGCAUCUGUGUAGUACCAGAGAAGCUCAAACAGACUUUGUCUCAUAUUUCUUUAACACGUCUAAAGAUAUUGGCAUCGUCUUUGGUCAGUUUAAAAUUAAAUUUCUUUUCUUUGUUUUUGAUGUAGUAAACAUAAGUAAAACAUGAAUUUUGCCAAGUUUGACAGUAGACAUUAUCUCAUAAUUUAAUGCUAAAAGCAUGAAGUUCACAGCAACCAUAUUAUAAAUGUGCACCAAAGAUUUAUGUUGAUUUGUGUCAAACGGUUAUUUGUUGUGUAGGUCACAUUAAAAAUCAAUGAAAUGGUUACUGACCAUCCCAGCAUGCCAAGCUGUGUGUGCAGUGUACAUGAAUGCUGCUAGCUGAUGUAAACUGAGAUCACAUUAUCCAUAUGUUAAAAUGAAAGCAUGACCAGUGAAAUAGGAAAAGUGUGCAAUUAUGAAUUAUGCCAAAAUCAAAGAUUCAUCAUUGUUACAAAGAUUAUUUUCAUGUUUUAAGAGUCAAAGAAAGAAGGAAUGUGUUAAUCACACAAGAAAUAAGCUUCUGGAGUGGCAUUUGAA